AAAAAAAGUUAGUUAAUAAAUAACAUAAGAUUGUCAAUCUUAAAUUAAUGUUUUAUAUUA
rnacentral:tRNA from 1 species